rnacentral:rRNA from 1 species
UACGUAGGCAGCGAGCGUUGUUCGGAGUUACUGGGCGUAAAGAGCGCGCAGGCGGUUGGUCAAGUCGAAUGUGAAAGCCCCCGGCUCAACUGGGGAGGGUCAUUCGAUACUGGCCGACUCGAAGGCAGGAGAGGGACGUGGAAUUCCAGGUGUAGCGGUGAAAUGCGUAGAUAUCUGGAGGAACACCGGUGGCGAAGGCGGCAUCCUGGACCGACAUUGACGCUGAGGCGCGAAAGCCAGGGGAGCAAACGGG